rnacentral:rRNA from 1 species
GGGUCAGUAGGUUGGUCGUGCCACCGGUACGUACUGGUCUCACUGAUUCCUCCUUCCUGAAGAACCGUAAUGCCAUUAAUUUGGUGUUGCGGGGAAACAGGACUGUUACUUUGAAAAAAUUAGAGUGUUUAAAGCAAGCUAACGCUUGAAUACAUUAGCAUGGAAUAAUGAAUAGGACGAUCGAUCCUAUUUUGUUGGUUUCUAGGAUUGACGUA